GACGAACGCUGGCGGCGUGCUUAACACAUGCAAGUCGAACGGAAAGGCCCCCAUCUUGGUGGGGGUGCUCGAGUGGCGAACGGGUGAGUAACACGUGGGUGAUCUGCCCUGUACUUCGGGAUAAGCUUGGGAAACUGGGUCUAAUACCGGAUAGGACCAUGGUUUAGUGUCUCAUGGUGGAAAGAUUAUUGUUUUGGUGCAGGAUGAGCUCGCGGCCUAUCAGCUUGUUGGUGGGGUAAUGGCCUACCAAGGCGUGGACGGGUGGCCGGCCUGAGAGGGUGGACGGCCACAUUGGGACGGAGAGACGGCCCAGACUCCGACGGGAGGCAGCAGUGGGGAACAGUGCACAAUGGGCGCAAGCCUGAUGCAGCGACGCCGCGUGGGGGAGGACGGCCUUCGGGUUGUAAACUCCUUUCGUGAGGGACGAAGCCGCACUUUUUUUGGGUGUGGUGACGGUACCUUUGUUAAGAAGCACCGGCUAACUACGUG
rnacentral:rRNA from 1 species